AAAAUACGCACCCAUCAGGAAAAAAAAGAGAAAGAAAGGGGAAGAAGGAAGGGGGACCGAGGAAGGAAGGAGAGGGGGGAGAAGAGUAAGGCAGCGCGGUGGGUGUCACUGCCACUGUCGCCGCCGCUGCUGACAGAGGAGAGAGGAGAUCUGAGAGAGAAGGAGAGUACCGCGAGGAAGCCGCCGCGCAGCUCAGGACCGCCGUCGCGUCGCGUCGCGUCGUUGUUGGCGCCAGCGUCGAGGAGACCACGCGGGGAGGAGAGACGCGCGAGGGAGAGAGAGCAGAAUCUCAAGCCGAGCUGAGGUCCAACCACCGUGUUAGAACCCUUUUCGCGUCGCCAGCGUUGCCCACACCGUGAAGCCGUCGCCGCCGCUACUGUACCCGCGUCGUCAUCGUCCUCGUCUUGGAGUCGGUUGCCGCCACUUAUGGAGGAGCCAGAGAGAGCGAGAGAGAGCGAGCUCGGGAGCAGAGGAGAGAAAAGAGAGACCCGCGCCAGCCACCGCCGCUUCUGCCGCUCGAAAUCCUGCUGCCGCCGGCGGAGAACGCACUGUCGCUCUCCGCCGCCGCUGCUUGUUGUUCUGAACUGCUGCACCGUCGUUGCCGCCGUUCGGGUCACUGGGAACAUGGCAGUGAUCACCGGAACCACCAUCGGAGUUACCGUUAUUUAAAUUCAGCGGAUCGAGUUCCGGGUCUUGAUUGCUGAGUUCUAUGGCUG